GCUGUGAUUUGCUUUUUUCCUCUCUCUCUCUCUGAUCUCUCAGCAUUUGUCCUGAUGUCUGGCUGCGGGUUUAUAUCAUUAAGAACAAUUAGAACUCGUGUUACAUGGACCCCAAUCAAGGAAUGGUGCUACCCACAGUGGACUGGUCUUUCCACCUCAGUUAAUGAAGCCAGUGUCGCCCCACACAGUCAUGCCUGGAAGCCCUAUCAUAGGUGGUUCUAGAUCCUCUCAACUUGAAAAUUAACAUGGUCACACAAAUAAAAGAAGCCAAAAAUAAAAAUCCUGUGGAGACAAAUGCACAGAAAAUUCAAGAAAUGUUAUGAACUAAACUCCAAGAAACUUGAAAGCAAAGGGAAAGAAUCUCAGAAAAAGCCAGCUAGAAACAAGAGUAUUUUCUUGACAGAGUCCACUAGAGUUGUAGAGGCCUUUUCACCUGGUGCCAGGCUGGGCGUGAGGAUCUGCUGGCCUAGUUCUUUCUGGAUGCUAAAGCAAAGCAGCUGCCAGUCACAGACUGUACCUGGAGGGGCCACUGUUUAGGAGUAAAAAGGGGGAAAUAAAGACAUUCUCAAUAGAGAGAAAUCUAAGAGAAUCCAUUGCCAACAUGCAUCCCCAAAGAGCAGUUAUAGUGAGUGUCUGAUAAGAAAGUGAAAACGGGCUUACAACUUCAGAGUAGCUCAUGACUCCAUUAGCUGUGUUUUUUUGUUUUUAAUGCACAUCACGGUUUUCUCUGAAGUGUGUGGUCAAAGCAAAAGAAAACCCAAGUGAAUAGUGGAGCUGUCCUGGCUACACUCACCUAUGGGAGUCUCAAAAUACAAAUUCUUUUGUACCAAAACCACUUUGCUCUCCACCACAAUUAUUUCUAAAUUUUGUUUAUGUUUUUGUGUAUGUUUUCACUCCAGUCAUGACUUAACAUAAAAUCUGAAUUUACUGUCAGAACAGCACAACUCAGAAAUGACUUGUCUUUAUUUUAUAUAGAUAGGCCCCAAAUUGUGUUUACUCUUGGUGGUAUGAGGAAUCAUACCUCUAGGACUUAAAUUUUAUUUCCAAAUGCAAGGUAAGGGAUUGCUGCAAUUUUCCAGGCUGGUUCAACACUGGGUUCCUGAAGCCUCUAUUGGGAUCAAUUGCUGUGAUGCUUUGGCAAGCCACUGUUGAGACAGGUACCAAGAACGAACAGGAGCAGAGAGGCUGAAAGACAGCCCUGCUGAUGCGUUUCAGACAGACAGAUGAGUGUUGGAGGAUGCAGUCAGUACCAGACCUGAAUCCGUACAGCCAGCACUUGACAAGAGAAAGCCAAGUUCAUAAACAAUGAAAGUGACAUAAGGUCCCCUUUUCUCCUCAACUGUCUUAUGGUGAACAGGCAGAGCUGUUACAAGGACCAAAUUCCUAACAGCUUGUUGAAGGCAUUUCUCCCCGGGCUCUCAUGCUCCUUGCAGUGAGAGGCACUGGCUGCUUUUACUCUGGAGUGUUUUCAAGGCUCGUAUUUGUAGCUGGCAGUCUUAGGGAACACAGCUUCCUUUUCUAGAGCUCAGGGCAGGUCUGCUUGUGGCAUGGAAGUCUGAGGUGUCUUUAAUUGCAGCAAAGGGCAAGUGUCCUUUGUUCUCCUCAUAAAAGAAACAGGUUCUCUGAGCAUCAGGUGGCAUCUGUCUUCUCCUCGCACAACACAAUGUAUAUGCAAAUGUCACCUUUUCUCAUUGCAUCACUCUGGAGGAGUUGGAGGUGCAGAAAAUUGGCUCAAAAAUAGUGUUUUUUUCCUCUGAGAGAGAAUAAAGUCUUCACCCAAGGACCUCCCCCAAAAAAGGUCCAGAGACUAUCAUGGCAAAUUCUGUCAACAUUUAAAAAAGCUUCUUUUAUACAAAAGUGAAAAUAAAAGGUAUGAAUACUUUGUCAAUCAUUUCAUUUCAUGAAAUCAGUAUUAUCUAGGUGCCCAAAUAGUACAAAGACAGUAUAAGAAAAGGAAACUGUAGACCAAUAGCCUUCAUGAAUCUAGAUGAAAAAACCCUCAAUAGUGCUAGAAACUAAAAAUUACCGAUGUAUAGAGACUACAUCAUAACCAAGUGAUAUUUAUACUAGAGGUGGGAAGUUAGUAUGGCAUUAGGAAGCCAACCAUAUAUUUCACUGUAUUAAAAGACUCAAAAAUAGAAACCAUCUGCGUCAGUUUGCUUGGGCCAGCAUAACAAAAUUCUGUGUGUUGGGUGGUUUAAGCAAAAGAAGUUAAUUUUCUCGAGGUUCUGGAGACUAGCAAUGUGCGUUAGUUACUUUUCCAUUGCUGUGAUCAAAUACUAAAUGUGUGUGAAGAAGGAUUGGACCACUGGAAGGCAGGACACCAGCAGCAGGGUGCUGUUCCUGGUUGCAUUGCAUUGCUGGUCAGAAAGCACAUUGGACAGGAAGUGGGGCGGGGCCAAGAAAUCUUAAGGCUUGGCCCCUGUGGCUCUUUCUUCAGCAAGGAUCUACUGUUUCAAGGUUCUAAAACUACCGGAACAGCAUCCCCAGCGGAUGACCAGAUAUACAAACACAUGGGCACAGCUUUGGAGUUGAUGUCACUGGGCCAACAAGGGAAUGAAGAAAGCAGACAUGUGUACAGACAAGCUGGCAUCAGGAUCGCCAGAACCCAAGGCUCCUUUGACAGCUACAUCAAGACCUUAUAGUCAGACCCUGCUCAGAGGCCAAGAUCCUACCUUCCAGGUGGGGCUGCAGGACUUGCAAAUCCACGACUGAGAUCAGUGUGUGGAAGCAGAGGAUAAAGCAAGGAACAGAAAUGAAUUGAAGACAGCAGAAUCACCAUAAUCUACCCCAGCAUGAACGAGAGCUCAUCAAAUCUGGAAAACUGGAGUGAACUACACAACCGAUCCUCAGCUUCAGAGGUUGAGGCAUGUCUUUUCCAAGUAGCCCAGUUAUUCUGAGCCUCUUCCAGGUGUGGGUGUUUUGCUUAUGUUUAUGACAUAUUCCACAUGUGGGCCUGGUACCUGAGGAGGCCAGUAGAGGAUGCCAGAUCUUAUGGAACUGGAAAUACAGAUGGAUGUGAGCCACCAUGUGAGUGCUGGGAAUUGAACCUGGGUCCUCUGGAAGAGCAGCCAGUGCUCUUAACUGCUGAGCCAUCUCUCCAGCCGGUAAUGCCACUUGAGGUUGUGGGAAGUUCAGGAACCGGUGCUGACUCUCGGGUAUUUUAUCAUAGCAACACAAAAGCAAUGAAUUUACCUUGGCUGUCUGCACAUUGGCUGCAGGUCAUCUGACCUGGUUAACCUCUCAGUGUCACCUAGGGAGGAGACUUCCUUUAUAGCUACUGUCCAAAGUGUGGUCUCUUAAGGGCCUGUAAGUUGGCAGCUUCCAAGGUUUCUUUCGUCAUUUUUACCAGGUGGUUAUCUGCCACUCAAAAGUAUUGUUUGUUGUUGUUUUGCUGCAGCUACAGGCGAUGACACAGAAACCACAAACUCAACAGAACUCACGUGGGGUUUAUUGGGGAAAGGGAAAAAAAGAUAGGGGAAGGUGUUGGCCAACCAGGAACAGAGAUGGAAGGGGAAGGGGCGGACAGGUGGGAGGUGCUCGCUUAAAAGGGAAAGCUUGCACAUGCGUACAGAGUCCUUAUGCAGCCAUGUAACGCAUGACGUGACCACACAACACAGGGACCUUUGAGCUGUCUAAGCAUCUGCCUGAAUGCUGGUCUGUCUAAGCAUCUGCCUGAAUGCUGGUCUGUCUAAGAAUCUGCCUGAAUGCCAGUGUGUCUACCUUGCCAGUUGUCAGGGAGCAGGGUCAGCAUAAUGCCAGGAUACCAACACUGCUAACCCAUCCCUAUUCGUUGGUGGGCCAGGGCUUGCAACCCAACAGCCCUUUCAUUGCUGAAAUCAGUGCUCGUGGGUGGUGAUGCGGGAAGUUAACUUUGAGACUCCAGGGGCUAGGAACUGGCUGGGGUUUGCUGCUGUGAGUGGUAGUCACUAUUGACCUCAGAAACGGGUGCAUGAGAGAAACGUGGAGAACAUCUAGAGAGAUUUUCCAGACAUCAACUGAUCUCUGUUUGUCUUGUGUUGCUAAAAUGUUGCGACUGUGAACCACGGGCAGAUAAGUAAUAUCUGUGGAGCAGAGUUAAGUGCUCACGAACCAUUGAAUGACUACAAGGAAGUUUAAUCUGGUUUGCAGGAGAAGAUGAGAAUUUGCAUUUCCUCUUGAAACGCAUAGGAAGAGAGAAGAGAAGACUGAAUCAAGAAGGACGGUGAUGGCCUUGGAUGAAGGGGACCCUGUAGCAUUUGAUUGGGAGGCGUUGCUUUUGUUUUACUUCAGUAAUACAAUUACUUUUUGUGUUACUCCAGUAUUCAUCCCUCUUCUGCCCCGGUUGCUAAAAAUUCCACCCCAGGGGAAGAUGCAAGUGUCGCUUUUUCUUUCUCUCAAUGUCCCGGUGACAAACUGAGUCACUGUUCUGACCACUUCACACUGGGGAGCCUAAACACUUAUUGGUUUUUUCAGAACACAGGUGAGAGGUAUUUGCAGGGUGUAAGUGUUGCUCCCCUCAACAGGGCACACCUGGAAAGACUUUGCCAACCAGCAGUAAGGCCUUCCCCAUGGCUGCAUAGACGGAGUCUCCUCCUCUAGUUCCCCCAAAUAUACUAUAGUCCCUCCAUGAAGCCCUGUGCAAGUAAGCAAUUAAGGAAGAAUUGUAUACACCAGUUGGUAGGCAUCAGUUGGAUACUCAGGAGAGUGACCAUCCUCAUGUCUCCAUUGAAGGUGUGUGUGUGUGUGUCUGUGUGUGUGUGUGUGUGUGCGUGCGCGUGCAUGCGCGUGCGCCCCCUCACUGGGACAAUCCUUUUGCACGGGGAUAAAGCUGAAUUCCCCAAGAUGGCAGUUGCUUGGCUCAGAGGAUAGUCAAACACAGCUUACCUCUCUAUCUACAUUAUCUGUAAAGCCUAGUCGCCAUGCAGGAAUGGUUUGUGCAAGUGUGUACAUUUGUGCGAGUGUGUAAGCCUCUGAGUGUAUGUCUACAAGCACGUCCCUGUAUGUGUGUGAAUCUGAGUGGGAGAGAUGUAGCAUGUACACCUAAGAGACACACGUGAGAGAGUAGAAAUGUGUAUGAGUCUAAAUAGGCAAACGUGUUGGUUAUUGUCAGUUGUCUGCUUGCCAGAAUUUGGAUUUACCUGGGAGACUGACUUCUGGACAUGCACAGGAGGAUUUUCUUAAUCACGUUAGUUAGGUGAGAAGGACUGAUUGCCGUGGGUGGCAUCACUGCUUAGGCAGGGGAUACAGGACUCUGUAAGAUAAAGGGAGCUACACACCAGCAUUUAUGCACCCUUUGCCGCCUCCCGACUAUGAGCUUAAUGUGGUUAGGUGUUUUAAGUUCCCGUUGCCUUGGCUUUCCCACCACGAUGGGCCUUGAUCCAGAACUUUGGCCUAAACAAACCCUUUCUCUGGUAAGUUGCUUUUGGCAGAGGAUUUUAUCACAACAGAAAUAAUGAAGACAGCAAGCAUCCGGGAACGUGCGUGAGAUCAGACAGGCGUGUAUGUGAACACAAGUCCCUCGGAGUAUCCAUUGAGUGGGGCUGGAGUGGCUCCGAAGCAGUGAGUAUGAGCAGGAACAUACCGACAGGCCAGAGCUGGGAGGCCUCCUGCCAAUCUCUCUGAGGCCAGGGAGGGCUGGAGUGACCUUUUGGUCCCAUGAUUGUUUACUCAGAAUACACAGAGGAAAAGAGACCAGAGCAGGCAGAGUGGCGUCCAAGUUAUCUGUCCUCCAAACCUCAACAGAGUCUUGCCAAAUCAAAUGAAGUCUCUGGGCCACAAGUGAUCCAUAGGCUCAUCCCAGCAUCCAGAAUCCAUGUGUAGACAGAGUUCAUUUUAUUACUUUUUAUUAAUAUCCAGUUGUCUGGAAAAUUGACACAAUAAUGUGCUAUUACAGAGAACAGUCGAAACUGUACUUUGAAAAUGGACAGCUUGUAAAAACGCUCUCAAAAUGUUUGUUCUUAUUGCUCUCAUGAUGCCAUCAGAGGGGCGGGGCUCAUGAGCUACGAGGAGACUGUGAGUGAAACCUCUGUUUCCAAACAGAAACGGACUGCCUUUGAGGCCGGCUUGUUCUCCAGAAAAGGCAAAGCAGGCUCACUGCGUUGACUUGGAGAGCUCCAUGCCCAGCAAGGAGCGGUGACCUGAUCUUCCAGUAGACAUGCUAAAGUGGGCAAAGUCCAUGGGGCCUCAAUCCCAUAUAAAGAACUAGAGGCAACUAAGGAGUGCUGGAAACCAGAGAAAUAGCCUUCCCUGGGAAGAGCACAUCAGUCAAGAUCUAUUGGAUGAAGCCAACCAUAGUGCUCCUAGGCAGAGAAAUUUCAUCUCAUGAAGAACCAGGGUCUUGACCUACUGAAGAAGUCAGAAUUCAAUGCUCGCCAUAUGGUGGUCUUUAUCCUAAGUGCCUUCAUGCUUGGAUUAUUAUAUUAACUCUCUAUAGGCUCAGAGAAGCACAUUGUGAGUGAGCACCUACUGUAUCCCAACAUAUGCCUGGAUCAAGAAAUGAAGAAGACACAUUGUUCAUGCUCGGAAAACAUUCCGUCAGGGGCAAAAUUUAAAUAUGUAAUGAAUUUGUGAUUAGAGUGACUAUAUCCUUGUUGCUCUGACACUGUUUGAAGAGAGAGUAAGAAACUGCAAUGGGAUAAAUACUGAUCCUUGCCAGAGGUCCUCCCACUGACACCCAGGUUCAUCAGUCUGGGGUCCGUGAGCUCCCCCUUGUUUAGGUCAGCUGCCUCUGUGGGUCCCA